CACAUGACUCAUUCUUAUAGGUGGUGAAUGUGAUAAGGUGUAGGGAAAAAAAUGAUAUUACCUCACUAAAAGUGUUGUCCAAAUCUGGUGCCAGAAGACUCGGUAAGGCCAGAAACGCAAACGUUAGUCAUCCUAAUCAGGCGUAAAGGGUAUGUAGGCAGCUUUAAAUUUUUUUAUUUUUAAUAAUAGCUCUCUUUUUAAUUAAAUAGUAAAAAUAAAAUAAAUUAAAGCUAGAAUCAAAUAGAGGAAAAACCAAAUAAUACUUAGAGUAGGGAUGAUAUCCAUAGAUACUAAGGGGAAUACUAAGGGCGAAAGCUUUUUUUCUACUAAUGAUUGACGCUGAGAAACGAAGGUGAGAAUAGGAAAUAGGAUUAGAUACCCAGAUACCUCUCACUGUCAACGAUGAAUGGUGGUUGCUAGUUUUAAUAAAAACUGGUGACGAUGUUAACACGAUAACCAUUCCGCCUUGCGAGUACGGUUG
rnacentral:rRNA from 1 species